rnacentral:lncRNA from 1 species
GAUCAACUCUGGGCCGUCCAGCAGGCCCGCGAGGCGGCGGCGAGGCAACACCUCGACGUCCCCACGUGGGAGACUUAAGGCCCCGUCGGCGAAAGCUCUGCAGGACUAUCAAUAAAGCAAAUUGUUCCUUUUUCACGGCUU